rnacentral:rRNA from 1 species
GAUGAACGCUGGCGGCGUGCUUAACACAUGCAAGUCGAGCGAAGCACUUGAGUUUGAUUCUUCGGAUGAAGACUUUUGUGACUGAGCGGCGGACGGGUGAGUAACGCGUGGGUAACCUGCCUCAUACAGGGGGAUAACAGUUAGAAAUGACUGCUAAUACCGCAUAAGACCACGGUACCGCAUGGUACAGUGGUAAAAACUCCGGUGGUAUGAGAUGGACCCGCGUCUGAUUAGGUAGUUGGUGGGGUAACGGCCUACCAAGCCGACGAUCAGUAGCCGACCUGAGAGGGUGACCGGCCACAUUGGGACUGAGACACGGCCCAGACUCCUACGGGAGGCAGCAGUGGGGAAUAUUGCACAAUGGAGGAAACUCUGAUGCAGCGACGCCGCGUGAAGGAUGAAGUAUUUCGGUAUGUAAACUUCUAUCAGCAGGGAAGAAAAUGACGGU